rnacentral:rRNA from 1 species
UACGUAGGGUGCGAGCGUUGUCCGGAAUUAUUGGGCGUAAAGGGCUCGUAGGCGGUUUGUCGCGUCGGGAGUGAAAUCACUGGGCUUAACCGAGUGCUUGCUUUCGAUACGGGCAGACUUGAGGCAUUCAGGGGAGAACGGAAUUCCUGGUGUAGCGGUGAAAUGCGCAGAUAUCAGGAGGAACACCGGUGGCGAAGGCGGUUCUCUGGGAAUGUUCUGACGCUGAGAAGCGAAAGUGUGGGGAGCGAACAGG